UACGAGGGGGGCGAGCGUUGUUCGGAAUUAUUGGGCGUAAAGGGUGCGUAGGCGGUUCCGCAAGUCCUGUGUGAAAUCUUCGGGCUCAACUCGAAGUCUGCACGGGAAACUGCGGGGCUUGAGUGUGGAGAGAGGUGAGUGAAUUCCCAGUGUAGAGGUGAAAUUCGUAGAUAUUGGGAAGAACACCGGUGGCGAAGGCGGCUCACUGGCUCAUUACUGACGCUCAGGCGCGACAGCGUGGGGAUCAAACAGG
rnacentral:rRNA from 1 species